UUCUUAUUAGAUGAUGAACACCACGUAUCAUAUUUUGAUUGGAUGUCAACUCCAUAAAAAAUGAAAUGCAUUAAUAUUUUCAUUGACCAAUUAGAACAUGACACGUGACAAUCGUCAUCC
rfam:Glycine soja cultivar W05 scaffold2150_9, whole genome shotgun sequence.